rnacentral:rRNA from 1 species
GACGAACGCUGGCGGCGUGCCUAAUACAUGCAAGUAGAACGCAGUUGCGAACGGGUGAGUAACGCGUAGGUAACUGCCUCAUAGCGGGGGUUAACUAUUGGAAACGAUAGCUAAUACCGCAUACUGUGAGAUGUACCUGCGUUGUUUUUGCUAGUUGGUGGGGGAAAGGCUCACCAAGGCGACGAUACAUAGCCGAGCUGAGAGGGAGAACGGGCAAAACGGGACUGGGAAAAGGGCCAGGACUCGUAGGGAGGGAGGAGUAGGGGAACUUCGGAAAUGGGCGGAAGUCUGAACGAGCAAAGCCGGGGGGGUGGAGGAGGGUUUCGGGUCGGAAAGCUAUGUUGUUAGAGAAGCGGUAACUAAACAAAAAGGGCCGGCUAACUACGUGCCAGCAGCCGCGGUAAUUC